CAGCAAGAAUAAUUACAACUAUAAUGACCACAAAUGAUCUUAUGGUUCUAGUCCGUUUCAUAAUCAUGCUGGUUCUUAAUAUAUGGGUCACAGCCACAAUAUUGCGUUACCGGAAGACUGAAAAGACUGAUUAGAUGACAGCUUCUCUCCAGUUGCAACACAUGUCAAACAGUUUGGACCAAAAAAUACAGUGAAGCCUGAACAAGAGACCUCCAUGUCCAGGCAGCCUUCUGUAUGCCACCUGCCUCAUAUUAUCCCUUAAAAGAUUAAGUACAACGUUGCUUAGGUUUUAUUACAAUUAAUACUACUUAACAAAGCAUAUUUUAUUAGAAGUAAACUUUAUUGGUCAUUUAA